GCAGCGGAGGUACCGGUACCACCGGCACCGGUCGCGGGGCCGCCUUCCUGCCCGCGGCGCGGCCCCGCAGAGCCAUGGGCGAUGGGGGGCUGCCGCCCGACUGCGGCCCCCAGAACCGGUCGGUGGUGCCGCCCGGGAGUAGGCAGCUGCCCGCCGCCGAACUGCUGUCGCAGCAAUGGGCGGUGGGGAUGAGCCUGCUGAUGGCCCUGGUGGUGCUGCUCAUCGUGGCCGGGAAUGUGCUGGUGAUCGCGGCCAUCGGGCGAACGCAGCGGCUGCAGACCCUCACCAACCUCUUCAUCACCUCGCUGGCUUGCGCCGACCUGGUGAUGGGGCUGCUGGUGGUGCCCUUCGGGGCCACGCUGGUGGUGCGGGGCACCUGGCUCUGGGGAUCUUUCCUCUGCGAGUGCUGGACCUCGCUGGAUGUGCUCUGCGUGACAGCCAGCAUCGAGACCUUGUGCGUCAUCGCCAUCGACCGCUACCUGGCCAUCACCUCGCCUUUCCGCUACCAGAGCCUCAUGACCAAGGGUCGGGCCAAGGGCAUCAUCUGCACCGUUUGGGCCAUCUCCGCCCUGGUCUCCUUCUUGCCCAUCAUGAUGCACUGGUGGCGGGAUGAGGAUCCCCAGGCACUGGAGUGCUACCAGGACCCAGGCUGCUGCGACUUUGUCACCAACAGGGCUUAUGCCAUCGCCUCGUCCAUCAUUUCUUUCUACAUCCCCCUCCUCAUCAUGAUCUUUGUGUACCUCCGGGUGUACAGAGAGGCCAAGGAGCAGAUUAGGAAGAUCGAUAGGUGCGAGGGCCGGUUCUACGGCAGCCAGGAGCAGCCGCAGCGCCCCCCACCUCCUCACCACCAGCCCAUCCUCGGCAAUGGCCGAGCCAGCAAGCGAAAGACCUCCCGCAUCAUGGCCAUGAAGGAGCAGAAAGCCCUCAAGACUUUGGGCAUCAUCAUGGGAGUGUUCACCCUUUGCUGGCUCCCUUUCUUCCUGGUGAACAUCGUCAACGUCUUCAACAGGGACCUGGUGCCGGACUGGCUCUUCGUUUUCUUCAACUGGUUGGGCUACGCCAACUCUGCUUUCAACCCCAUCAUCUACUGCCGGAGCCCUGACUUCCGUAAGGCCUUCAAGAGGCUGCUCUGCUGCCCCAGGAAAGCCGACCGGCGGCUGCAUGCCAGCGGUGGGGAGCUGAACCCGCUGCCCGGGGGCUUCAUCAGCACCGUGGGCUCCCCGGAGCGUAGCCUGGCAGGGACCUGGUCCGACUGCAACGGGGGCACAAGGGGCGGCAGCGAGUCCAGCCUGGAGGAGAGGCAUAGCAAAACAUCCGAUUCGGAGUCCAAGGAGUACGUGGCUGGGAGUCAGGAGACCAGAAUAUUUAAGAUUACAGAGGAUGUUUAAUUUGAAAGCUAAAAAUGGUCUCGAGUAGAAAGAAACCUCCGUAUGCGGUAGACGCCACCCCACAAAUAGGCAACAGCGAAGAGCAUGGGACAGACUCCUCAACUUUUUGCAGAGACUGGGAGCUGAAAGAGCAACUCAUGUACCGGGUGACAGCACUACGCUGUCCCCGACUACAAGAGGGUGAGAUGGCAACCAGCCACAGGCAGUGGCAGAGGAAGAGCAGCUCUGUUUGCCCAAAGUCCUUGUGUGGAUCCCAACACUGAUGGGCACCAUGGAGCAGCUAGUGACUUGUGAGUAAUCCCCAUCAUGCGCAUCUUUUGGUGGAGGAUGUUUAACUGCUUUUAUUCCUGCACACUUCGCUCAUGUGGGAGUAAGGAAUGUGGUGAUAAAAAGGCUGGAAUGAUUUCAAUGCUGGAUAGUUUCCAUUAGUACAUUUCUUAUUACAUAACGCUGCCGUUGCUGUACCAAAUCUGCUAAGGUGCCUUUUAGGAAGGUGGAACAUCUCUGUGUAGCUAUAACUAAUGAAGUGGUGGUGUAGAGCAGGCUGGGCUUUGGUCAGAUACUUUUGAAUUGCACCGGGUGUGCUUGGGCUGUUCCAUGGUAUGGAUUUCUUUGCCUUUACGUUACGAGGCACCUCAUAAAUUAAACGGUUGAUGUUGUCAAAUGCAUGCCAUUAGCACUCUGAGCAGAUAAUCUCUUCGGUGGCCUCAUCGGAGUCUAUCGCAGGGCCUGUCUCCAGAUAACGGCCUGGAAGAAGAACAAUGGUGCUCCGAGCUCCCAGAGACCUCCACUCUUUGGUUCUGUGCUUCAGAAGAGAAAAAUUAUCAUUAUCUGCACAGCUCAAGAUCCCUUUGAAAUGCUGUUAUUUUUUUACUCAUAUGCUCCAAGUAUUUUUUACAUUAUAUCAGUGAGAAACUUGAAACCCCCUUUUGAGAAGAAAAAGAUUUCCUGCAGCCCUACUACUGAAGAAAAUGGAUAGAUCAAGUAGUGAAGUUCAAUGACUUACUUAGCAUUAAAUAAGAAAGAGAAUAAUGAAUUGGAUUUUGUGUGCCUGUUUUUCCUCUGCAGGGAACAGUCAGGCUAAUGGAUUUUCAUUGUCUUCUGCUUCUGUUCAUCAAUCUAGCCCUGCUUUUUAAGAUACAAAGGGCUUCACAUCAGAUGCAUUUCUGAAGCUUAUCUGUGUGAAUAUUUGACUGCUUAUCCAAACAGAACAAAAACCUUCAAACCUUCUGAGGUCCAUCCAUCAAGAGCCUUAUCUCCCCAUGUCACCAUUCAGCUCCCAGCCGCUGCUGCUCGGAGCCUCCCGCCAGCCGGAGCUCGGCUUUGCCCUCCAGUUUCCCAUAUCCAUCCCCAAUCCAGGCAGCUACACAGCAUUAUCCACAGUCAUUUCCUUGGCUCCCUGCCACUUUAGUGAUGGCCUCUGCAUUGCACACAGGAGCGGCAGGCCUGGGCUGCUGCAUGGUCUGCAGCCAGCCAGCAUCCCGACAGGCUGCAUUUGUGCUGCUGUAUUGCAGCCCAUCGUCUCCAUCUCCCACUUACGCAGCCAUCCGGGCUGUGGCCACACAGCCAGAGCAGAGUUCACUGGCUCUGCUUGGCCCCAGUGAGCAGAACAUUUGUCUGGUUUUAUGGGAUAUUAAUGAAGCCCAGAUAAAGGAAUGCAGUCUCCUCCAUCUGAGGUUCAAAGACUGAAAUAUCCAAGGAGAGUAUUUCCGAUCCGCUGUCUGGUAAAAAGGAGGUUUUGUAAGAGGUCC